GCAACUUGGAACCAGAGGCCCUGUUAAUGAGGAGUACCCAGCAGGCAAAUGCUCUGAUUUGAAUUCAGCUUUCAGGAUGGAGCUGCUUGGCCGACGACUGUCCCCUACUGCUCCUGAAAUCGAAUCAGCCCUCCUGGUGCUCCAAAUGAGGCCGGAAAAUUGUUUGCUUGGAUUUGCAUGAAGAGCCUGAAAAUCACUGAAAGUAGAGACAUGCACAAGUCAAUGUGGAUACCAUCAUGGAACUCCUUUCUGACAGUGAUAUUGAAGAUGAGAGAUGUCUCUGGAGCAGUGCCUUAAGGAGGCUAACACAAGUGCUGAACCCAGUUGACCACUGGACCAAAAAGAAGUGGUAGCAGGUGGGACCAUAUAGUGACAAGCCCUGGGUAGCCAUGAGCAAUGUGAAAGCAUUAGUCAUUUAGAGGAGUAACUCAGCUACUGGCCUCAUCUCGCUGACUUGAUCAUUG
rnacentral:lncRNA from 1 species